rnacentral:lncRNA from 1 species
UGGAGUCUCGUCAUUUACGGGCUACCAUUCUAUUAAAUGAAGUUGAGCUUUUAUCCAAUUGUUUCUAUUCUUAUUUACUUUUUCUAAAUAAACUUGAAUUUUUAUGAUGAUAAUUUUAAAAUAAAUUGAUGAAUAUUUAUUUUUUCCUAAGAUAAUGAAAAUCGUCACUUUAAUGGAUAAUCGAUUUUAGUAAGGAAUGUCAACAACAAUCUGAGAACAGGUAAGUCUUGAAGUGUGAAGCAUUGUUGGUCUUCCCCAAGCAGUUGGUUGGGUAACUAUUUU